GAGUUUGAUCCUGGCUCAGGAUGAACGCUGGCGGCGUGCUUAACACAUGCAAGUCGAACGAACCUUCGGGUUAGUGGCGGACGGGUGAGUAACGCGUGAGAAUCUGCCCUCAGGAGGGGGAUAACGGUUGGAAACGACCGCUAAUACCCCAUAUGCCGAUAGGUGAAAUGAAUUUCGCCUGAGGAUGAGCUCGCGUCUGAUUAGCUUGUUGGUGAGGUAAUGGCUCACCAAGGCUUCGAUCAGUAGCUGGUCUGAGAGGAUGAUCAGCCACACUGGGACUGAGACACGGCCCAGACUCCUACGGGAGGCAGCAGUGGGGAAUUUUCCGCAAUGGGCGAAAGCCUGACGGAGCAACGCCGCGUGAGGGACGAAGGCCUCUGGGCUGUAAACCUCUUUUCUCAAGGAAGAAGAUAUGACGGUACUUGAGGAAUAAGCCACGGCUAAUUCCGUGCCAGCAGCCGCGGUAAUACGGGAGUGGCAAGCGUUAUCCGGAAUUAUUGGGCGUAAAGCGUCCGCAGGCGGCCUUUCAAGUCUGCUGUUAAAGCGUGGAGCUUAACUCCAUUAUGGCAGUGGAAACUGAUCGGCUUGAGUAUGGUAGGGGCAGAGGGAAUUCCCGGUGUAGCGGUGAAAUGCGUAGAUAUCGGGAAGAACACCAGUGGCGAAGGCGCUCUGCUGGGCCAUUACUGACGCUCAUGGACGAAAGCCAGGGGAGCGAAAGGGAUUAGAUACCCCUGUAGUCCUGGCCGUAAACGAUGAACACUAGGUGUCGGGGGGAAUCGACCCCUUCGGUGUCGUAGCUAACGCGUUAAGUGUUCCGCCUGGGGAGUACACACGCAAGUGUGAAACUCAAAGGAAUUGACGGGGGCCCGCACAAGCGGUGGAGUAUGUGGUUUAAUUCGAUGCAACGCGAAGAACCUUACCAGGGUUUGACAUCCUGAGAACCUCUUAGAAAUUUGAGGGUGCCUUCGGGAAUUCAGUGACAGGUGGUGCAUGGCUGUCGUCAGCUCGUGUCGUGAGAUGUUGGGUUAAGUCCCGCAACGAGCGCAACCCACGUUUUUAGUUGCCAGCAUUUAGUUGGGCACUCUAGAAAGACCGCCGGUGAUAAACCGGAGGAAGGUGUGGAUGACGUCAAGUCAUCAUGCCCCUUACACCCUGGGCUACACACGUACUACAAUGCUACGGACAAAGGGCAGCAAACUCGCGAGAGCUAGCAAAUCCCAUAAACCGUGGCUCAGUUCAGAUCGUAGGCUGCAACUCGCCUACGUGAAGUAGGAAUCGCUAGUAAUCGCAGGUCAGCAUACUGCGGUGAAUACGUUCCCGGGCCUUGUACACACCGCCCGUCACACCAUGGAAGUUGGCCAUGCCCGAAGUCGUUACUCCAACCCUUGUGGAGGAGGACGCCGAAGGUGGGGCUAAUGACUGGGGUGAAGUCGUAACAAGGUAACC
rnacentral:rRNA from 1 species